rnacentral:lncRNA from 1 species
GUGCGACCUCAACCUUCCCCUUUUGUGGGGCUAAGCUUCACAGCUUCACGCGUGGCAACUUACGUGGCAGAUGAGUCAUCUAGUGCGAUUUGUCUGGACCGCUCCAGCUAGGCCAAACCUCGCUGUAGCUUCCGAGGUGCGUGCAGAUUAUUGAUGGGUGUCCUGGAUCUCUCCAGCCGGUGAGACUUACACUGUCUCUACAGGUUGCUAGCGUGGCGUCUCACUGAGUCGGGGCAUCCGGCUCCGCACCCUCCUCUCUUUCCGCCCUUCUUCAUUCACUCGAGGGUCGGCCUGGGGGUUCCCCCAAUGCCCAGCCCCGCGCCUUCAUCAGCUUAUUAUACCAUAUGCCAGCAAUGGGCUCCUGACAGCUGGCUAAAGAUUCGGAGCCAAUCCUGCUAGUUGCAUACCUGGCUGAUGCAACACCGCCCUACAAUGAACCUGCCAAGCUGUGACCCGGAGUCCCUUCUGACUUUCUUCGAGGAGCAUUGGAGAGGUGCUCAUCCAGGAAGGCCUGUCCG